GCCGUGGCCCGGAGAGGGGAGCCUGCCGCGGGAGGGGGCACGGCGUCUGCCCGCCCUGCGCCGCCGUCUCUCGCCGUGGAGCGUCACGGCUGCCCCCAGCCCCGGCGCGGCGGCCGGAGACGCGGCUUGGGAGCAAGAGUCCGGUUACGAUUGGAAAGGGAAGCAACGGGCACGUGUAGCGACUGAUAAAACUUGGCGCCGAAGUUUUGUCGUUUUCACUCUGCAUUAGGCGUUAGCCGCGAGACAUAACCGAAGCCUUGUUGCCAUUUUGACUCGGCAUCAGGAGUUCUCCGGGCGUCUGUGGGAAGAAACAAGAUGUUUCCUUCCAAGCAACCUAGUUCCAAGCAGGGUAAAAGAGAAAGUUGUGGUUCCAAAGGAUCUGGUGCCUCUUCUAAGAGAAAGAGGACAUCAUUAACUCCUGCACAAAAAAGGAAGAAGCACUGCAGAAGCCCUUCAGAAACCCAGUCUGCAAGCGAAGGAGACCAGUUGCACAGUGCUACAGAACGGAAAGAGUGUGGUGGGCAUGGCAGUGCCAAAGCAUCGGGAAGUGAUGGGAAGGCUACUCGCAAAAGGAGAGCCGACACUCCUUACUGUACCCAUCUUCCACAUCCACAGGAGGUGUGACAAAUUGUUAGGAUAUCCUUUUCUUUCAAAGAGAUGGAUUCUCGGCUGGGCAGCAGUAGUACUGGAGUGGGGGGACUUGGGGAAUUCCGUUGAUAACUGUUUAUCCCUUUAGCUAAUGUUUGGAGAUUGUUUUUUGCUGCGCUUUUAUUGCCUCCAUCGAAAACGUGUAGUUUGUAGGUACGUGUGUAAUACCACA